GAUGAAGAACGCAGCGAAAUGCGAUAAGUAAUGCGAAUUGCAGAAUUCAGUGAGUCAUCGAAUCUUUGAACGCACAUUGCGCCCUUUGGUAUUCCUUAGGGCAUGCCUGUUCGAGCGUCAUUUGAAACCUCAAGCUCAGCUUGGUGUUGGGUGUCUGUCCCCGCCUCACCGCGGGGACUCGCCUCAAAAUCAUUGGCGGCCGGUACGUUGGCUUCGAGCGCAGCAGAAACGCGAACUCGAGGCCCGGCGGAUCGGCGACCAGAAGUCACUUCUUCACAGUUUGACCUCGGAUCAGGUAGGGAUACCCGCUGAACUUAAGCAUAUCAAUAAGCGGAGGA
rnacentral:misc_RNA from 1 species